rnacentral:rRNA from 1 species
AUACGGAGGGUGCAAGCGUUAUCCGGAUUCAUUGGGUUUAAAGGGUCCGUAGGCGGGUAAUUAAGUCAGUGGUGAAAUCCUACAGCUCAACUGUAGAACUGCCAUUGAUACUGAUAACCUUGAGUGUGAUUGAAGUGGGCGGAAUGUGUCAUGUAGCGGUGAAAUGCAUAGAUAUGACACAGAACACCGAUUGCGAAGGCAGCUCACUAAGUCACAACUGACGCUGAGGGACGAAAGCGUGGGUAGCGAACAGGAUUAGAAACCCGAGUAGUCC